GGUUUGAUCAUGGCUCAGAUUGAACGCUGGCGGGAUGCUUUACAUGCAAGUCGAACGGCAGCACGGACUUCGGUCUGGUGGCGAGUGGCGAACGGGUGAGUAAUGUAUCGGAACGUGCCUAGUAGCGGGGGAUAACUACGCGAAAGCGUAGCUAAUACCGCAUACGCCCUUCGGGGGAAAGCGGGGACCUUCGGGCCUCGCACUAUUAGAGCGGCCGAUAUCGGAUUAGCUAGUUGGUGGGGUAACGACUCACCAAGGCGACGAUCCGUAGCUGGUUUGAGAGGACGACCAGCCACACUGGGACUGAGACACGGCCCAGACUCCUACGGGAGGCAGCAGUGGGGAAUUUUUGGACAAUGGGGGAAACUCCUGAUCCAGCCAUCCCGCGUGUGCGAUGAAGGCCUUCGGGUUGUAAAGCACUUUUGGCAGGAGAAGAAACGGCACGGGAUAAUACCCCGUGCAACUGACGGUACCUGCAGAAUAAGCACCGGCUAACUACGUGCCAGCAGCCGCGGUAAUACGUAGGGUGCAGCGUUAAUCGGAAUUACUGGGCGUAAAGCGUGCGCAGGCGGUUCGGAAAGAAAGAUGUGAAAUCCCAGAGCUUAACUUUGGAACUGCAUUUUUAACUACCGAGCUAGAGUGUGUCAGAGGGAGGUGGAAUUCCGCGUGUAGCAGUGAAAUGCGUAGAUAUGCGGAGGAACACCGAUGGCGAAGGCAGCCUCCUGGGAUAACACUGACGCUCAUGCACGAAAGCGUGGGGAGCAAAACAGGAUUAGAUACCCUGGUAGUCCACGCCCUAAACGAUGUCAACUAGCUGUUGGGGCCUUCGGGCCUUGGUAGCGCAGCUAACGCGUGAAGUUGACCGCCUGGGGAGUACGGUCGCAAGAUUAAAACUCAAAGGAAUUGACGGGGACCCGCACAAGCGGUGGAUGAUGUGGAUUAAUCUUUGAUGCAACGCGAAAACCUUACUCUUACCCUUGACAUGUCUGAAUCCCGAAGAGAUUUGGGAGUGCUCGCAAGAGAAUCGGAACACAGGUGCUGCAGCGGCUGUCGUCAGCUCGUGUCGUGAGAUGUUGGGUUAAGUCCCGCAACGAGCGCAACCCUUGUCAUUAGUUGCUACUAAAGGCUAAAUUCCCUCUAAUGAGACUGCCGGUGACAAACCGAGGAAGGUGAUGACGUCAAGUCCUCAUGGCCCUUAUGGGUAGGGCUUCACACGUCAUACAAUGGUCGGGACAGAGGGUCGCCAACCCGCGAGGGGGAGCCAAUCCCAGAAACCCGAUCGUAGUCCGGAUCGCAGUCUGCAACUCGACUGCGUGAAGUCGGAAUCGCUAGUAAUCGCGGAUCAGCAUGUCGCGGUGAAUACGUUCCCGGGUCUUGUACACACCGCCCGUCACACCAUGGGAGUGGGUUUUACCAGAAGGAAGUUAGCCUAACCGUAAGGAGGGCGAUUACCACGGUAGGAUUCAUGACUGGGGUGAAGUCGUAACAAGGUAA
rnacentral:rRNA from 1 species